GGUUGCUUGAAGACUAAGAUGUGAAACCAGGGAAGAGUGGAGAGAAAGUUUCCGUCGAUUCCCAAUUAUCAGCAUAAUUGAAGUCGGCAAUGAAACAGAUCAGGCUAACUGGACGGUACCACAGAAUCCAAUUCUUUGAUGUCAGUUGUGUUUUGCCAUUUCCCGGUGCAGAACUUGCCCCUCAGAUGUCCCUCAGGUGAUUGUGAUCGUCACAUGCUCUUCUGCUGGUGGAGUCAGGGGUGAGGGCAGCUGAGCUGCUCUGGGACAAGCUCUGUGGAGCAGCUGAGCCCAUGACACUCGUGAAGACCUGAGGAUGCUCACAGGAGUGCAAAGAUACCCCAGAGAGGCAGAGGAAGACACUCCACAACAGAGAGCAACGCCUCAGGGCAUCGGUCUUGGUUCUUGGUUGCUACUGUGAUCGCCUGAGGACCUCAGACUCUAGCUCCUUCCCUCUUCCAAAGUGGACUCUGACCAAUGAAUCUCCAGGGAGUUUCCAGACCUUUAGUUCCAGUCUGAGGGGGCAUCAUUGAUUCCUCUUGUUCUGAGGUGCCAGAUUCUUGGACUGAGCAGCUACGGGUUCCUCCAGCUCGCCAGUCUGCAGACAGCCAUGUGGACUAUCCAGCUGUGGUUGUGUGCCAGUGAUCAAGCAGUGGAAGAAAAAACAUGGAUAAAAUGUCUGUUAUCAAGAAGUUAGCCUUCUCAUCCACAUAAAAUCGGAAACACUGAUACCACUGAUACAUGAAAGAAGAAGAAUUAUAGAGCACAAUUGCAGCAUAAUUGAUCCUGAGCCCGAGAAGAUCUCAUGAAUUUGAUGUGUGAAUUGAGACCUGCAGGACAAGAAGGUGUUAACUAGGUCCAAGAGGAUGAGCAGAAGAAAACACAUGCGCUAAGGACCUGAAUUCAUACAUAAUUGUGGGAAAUAAUUCAAAAGUAAUUAAAAGUACUAGCAGUUAAUUCUAAAUCCCUGACCAAUUAAAAUUAAUUAAGUGACCAAGAAACUGGUUUCUCUUGGAACUUUUUCCAAC